AGUUUGAUCAGUGGCUCAGGACGAACGCUGGCGGUGUGCUUCACACAUGCAAGUCGAACGAGGUAGCAAUACCUAGUGGCGGACGGGUGAGUAACGCGUGGGAAUCUGCCUUUAGAUGGGGGAUAACGGGUCGAAAGACUCGCUAAUACCGCAUAUGACGAAAGUUGAAAGGAGUAAUCCGUCUAAAGAUGAGCCCGCGUCCGAUUAGCUAGUUGGUAGAGUAAAAGCCUACCAAGGCGACGAUCGGUAGCUGGUCUGAGAGGAUGAUCAGCCACAAUGGGACUGAGACACGGCCCAUACUCCUACGGGAGGCGGCAGUGGGGAAUUUUACGCAAUGGGCGAAAGCCUGACGUAGCGACACCGCGUGAGCGAAGAAGCCCCUUGGGGUGUAAAGCUCUGUCAGCUGGAACGAAAAAAAUGACGGUACCAGCAGAGGAAGCAUCGGCUAACUACGUG
rnacentral:rRNA from 1 species